UUAGGCUAUAAUUUUCCAUUGCCUGCAUUAUUCUUAACUAUCUCAGUCUUUCGGAGUACUAGCUUGCCUUCUUUGAAUAGUCAUUCGUUGACUUUCAGAUUGUGAUACUUUGAGAUCUUCUAUUUGUAGGUUGUCAUCCAUUCAUUUGCUUGCUCUCUAAGUUCCUCAAUAAGAUUAAGAUUUGCUCGUAGCUCUACUUUGUUUGUGCUUGACGUGGCAUGAUGAGUCGUAUAGCUUAAAAAUUAAGCUUUAUGGGAAUAAUAGUGUAGGAAUGUAAGAUCAGAUUUGGUCAAGUAGUAGUUAGAGAUAUGUGUAGAUACGGGUUUG
rnacentral:lncRNA from 1 species